UCCAUUGCAGUAACAGAUGGUCAAGCAAGACCUACAGUAGUACAAGUACAUAAAGAACGAUGUGCUGACAAAAUCUGUCUGAAUAUCUGCCUCACUAUCUUCUGUCCAUUUUGGUUGUUUAUUUGGUUAUGUUUGUGCUGUUGUGAGAAAUGAUUGGUGGACAAUGAACAUAUUAGCCUAAACUCUUUAUUUUAUGUUUUUCUUCUCUGCUCUGUUAAGUAUGAUCAUGUUACAAACAUGAAAAUGUUAUUAAUGCUCAUACAAUAUGUUUGAAAUCUAUUUUUUGUAUCUUAUGUAUAUAUAAAUUAAUUGAAAUAUGUGGUAGCAACCCAACGACACAAACAAUCAAAAGAUCUCAGUAAAAUAUGUGAAUGUAUGUACACACAAGCCUUAUAAUCAACAAAACAUUGUUAUAUUUUAAAUAUCCACCCUUUUUUAAGUAAAGGCAGAGUUGUUGCCCACUGCAGCAGUUCCAAUCAUUAAUAUAAUUUAUUCAAUUUGAAAUACAUUUUUGAUAACCA